CAGUAGCCGCGGUAAAACGUAGGGUGCGAGCGUUAAUCGGAAUUACUGAGCGUAAAGCGUGCGCAGGCGGUUGUGUAAGACAGGUGUGAAAUCCCCGGGCUUAACCAGGGAACUGCGCUCGUGACUGCACAGCUAGAGUAUGGCAGAGGGGGGUGGAAUUCCACGUGUAGCAGUGAAAUGCGUAGAGAUGUGGAGGAACACCGAUGGCGAAGGCAGCCCCCUGGGCCAAUACUGACGCUCAUGCACGAAAGCGUGGGGAGCAAACAGGAUUAGAUACCCCCGUAGUCCCUGUCUCUUAUAA
rnacentral:rRNA from 1 species